GAUGAACGCUGGCGGCGUGCCUAAUACAUGCAAGUAGAACGCUGAAGGAGGAGCUUGCUCUUCGGGAUGAGUUGCGAACGGGUGAGUAACGCGUAGGUAACCUGCCUGGUAGCGGGGGAUAACUAUUGGAAACGAUAGCUAAUACCGCAUGACAACAGUUAUUGCAUGAUAACUGUUUAAAAGGGGCAUUUGCUCCACUACAAGAUGGACCUGCGUUGUAUUAGCUAGUUGGUGAGGUAACGGCUCACCACGGCGACGAUACAUAGCCGACCUCAGAGGGUGAUCUGCCAGACUGAGACUGAGACAGGGCCCAGGCUCCUAAAGGAGGCAGCAGUAGGGAAUCUUCGGCAAUGGGCGGGAGUCUGACCAAACAACGCUGCGUGAGUGAAGAAGGUGUUCGGAUCGUAACGCUCUGUUGUAUGAGAAGAACGACUGUGAGGGUGGAAAGUUCACUCUGUGACGGUAUCUUACCAGAAAGGGACGGCUAACUACGUG
rnacentral:rRNA from 1 species